rnacentral:rRNA from 1 species
GAGUUUGAUCCUGGCUCAGGAUGAACGCUAGCGGCAGGCUUAAUACAUGCAAGUCGAGGGGCAGCAUGGGUAGCAAUACCUGAUGGCGACCGGCAAACGGGUGCGGAACAUGUACGCAACCUUCCCAGAAUUGGGUGAAUAGCCUUUCGAAAGAGAGAUUAAUACACCGUAACAUAAAUGAAGUGGCAUCACUUUAUUAUUAUAGCUCCGGCGAUUCUGGAUGGGCGUGCACCUGAUUAGGUAGUUGGCGGGGUAACGGCCCACCAAGCCUACGAUCAGUAACUGGUGUGGGAGCACGACCAGUCACACGGGCACUGAGACACGGGCCCGACUCCUACGGAGGCAGCAGUAAGGAAUAUUGGUC